CUCUUCUUCCUCCUCCUUCCCCUCCUCCUCCCUCCUCUUCCUCCUCUUCCCCCGCUGCUGCGUGAGAAGCCCCGUGUCUGCACCGCCCGCCUGCUGCCGUGCCUGCCGCCGCCACCCUCCCGGCCAGGCCACCGCGAGGCCCCGCAGACUCGGCGGCGCCAACGCACCUGCAAUAAGGCGGCGAGCCACGGCUGCGCUGAUAAGAGAUCUGACAGGCCUUGGAUGUGGUGGGAAGGUGCUCGAUGCAAAGUCCAGGGCAGCAGCCUCCAGUGAAGAAUUCUCCCAGCUCCAAACCUGCUCAGGCUGCCUCUUGCCUGUCACUGAUGGCUUCCAGAGGAGGUGGUGAGCUUCGGAAGCAGCCACCCUGAGACAGUAACCUCCCUGCUGAGGUAUGUACCUCCCUCCUCUCCAGAAAUCACAGACGCAGAUAAGAGCCUCAUGUUUCCAAAUGUGUUGGUGAGACUUCCUCAGCAGCUCCACUUCAUGUCUUCUUGUCAGACAUCUUAAUUUGUAUCCAUUCCCUCAGUAGAGGAUUUUCCAAGGUCCGCGCGCCAUGCUGGUAUAUGGGCUUAUCCUUAUCAUCAUGCAUGUAUUACAUAUAUGUAUGUAUAUGCUGCCCACUGUAUGUUUUAUAUAUGGAUAUACACUUGUGCUCAAUAGUUAUCUGCUUAUCCCUAACUUCACAUCUCAUGGAUUCAUCCAUGCAUGGUUAAUUGUGACCCCCAAAACAUCAGAUGACACAUUCAUUCAUCACGGCAUUGGUUUGUGCCACUCUGAGUAACAUGAAGCAAUUUUGUGGAUCCUGGGCCAACCCUCCUUGACUUUCCCAUUUGUACAGAGUGCCCUUGCUACACACACCAUCCCAGGAGUCCCAUCUUAUUGCAACAGCCUUCUCAGCCUUGCGGUGUCCUACUGCCCACGGCUUCAGGCAUCUACUGUGGCUCUUGGACCACACACCUCUCCAAAAAAGAGGAAGCGGGGGAGCGGGGGUGGUUACUGUACGUAUAACGAGCUCACAUUCAAUAGGAGACCGACACAUUAAAAGUAGCUCUUAUUCUGGUUGCCAAAAAAGGAGGAAAACCAGUCGGUUAGGCCAACCUUGGCAAAAAUAUUUUUUGUGAUGUGCAAAGAGAAUGUAGUUUUUCUUUUUUAAUCUUGCUACCACUUAACAAAAUUUUAACAUUUUCUUUCAUUACAUUCGUGUGUGUGUGUGUGUGUGCUUGAAUGCACGUGCAUGCAUAUUUUCUGGCAAGAGCGUACACGUGGAAGUUAGAUGGUAAUGUUGGGGGAAUCAUUUCUCUCCUUCCACCACGCUGGUGCUGGGGAAUCAAAUUCAGGUCGCCAGACUUAGCAGUAAGGACCUUUACCUGCUGAGCCAUCUCGCUGACGCUCCUUUCACACAUAUUGACUGAGCCCUACUACAUUUCCAGCCUCAAGCUGGGUCGUCUGUGUUGUUGAGACUUGCCCUCAGGAAGCCAUACACACAGACAGGAUGUGUGAGAUGAAGACACUCUCAGGUCACCUCCGUGCAAAUCACCCUCACCAAGUGACCUGAUCUUGUUAGCCUCAGUUCCCACAGUUCCUACCUUGUGGAGAUCCUCACGCAAGCUCAAUGAUAGAUUGGAGUUUGAAGAGCUGAGCAAGGAGCCUGGCAUGCAGAAACACCCCCAAGGGCAUGGGGGCACUAUGGUGACUACAGUUAUUCUAGUGAGUGGCGGGAGACUGGAAGAGAGUUAUUUUAAAGCUCUAUUGAGGCUGGAGAGAUGACUCCAUGGUUCAGGGCACCGACUGCUCUUCCAGAGGACCUGGGUUAAGUUCCCAGCAUCCACAUGAAGGCUCCCAAUUAUCUGUAACUCCAGUUCCAGGGGAUCCAGCACCCUCUUCUGGUCUCUGUGGGUACUGCACAUGGGAGGUGAGCAUACGUGCAGGCGAACACUCACAUGAAAAAAAAUUAAAUAACAUUUAUUUUUAUUUUAUGUGCACUGGUGUUUUGCCUACAUGUAUGUUUGUGUGAGGGUGCCAGAUCUCCUGGAACAGGAGUUACAGACAGUUGUGAGCAGCCACGUGGGUGCUGGGAAUUGAACCCAGGUCCUCUGGAAAAGCAGCCAGUGCUCUUAAUCUCUGAGCCAUCUCUCUGGCCCAAAAUUAGAUAAAUCUUAAAAGCACUAUUGUUGAAGUAGCAAAGGGCGUGGUUUGAUGAAAAAGACUUUGUGGAGAUUUGUUUUUGUUUGGUUUUCCAUUGAAAGUUUGAGUUUACUCUAAUAGAAUUGACUUGCUUUUUUUUUUAUUUUUGAAAGCUGUGAAGUCCAACUUUUUAAUAUCUAUAUUUCCUGAAAGAUGGAUUGAGGGUUACCAGGUGUUCUGGGUCACCAGGUCCUGAAGGUUUCCCAAGACUGAGACUUGCUUACACCUGAGUUUGAUCCCUAGGAUUCACAUAGUGGAAAGAAAGCUGUUCUUUGAUCUCCACACCCCAUCACAUACAAAAUAAAAUGAAUGAAUGAAUGAAUGAAUGAAAUAUGAUUAAAAAUUUAAAACACCAAGCACCACUAAAAAAAUCCUGCUUAGGAUCCCAGUCCUAAAUUAUAAGGAGUGUCUGCAAUUGAUAAAUGGGUUUGAGAAAUGCUUAGCAGAAAGUAAAGGGUUUCUCUACCACAAGAUCUUCUGGAAGUCUCUGGCCAGUGGUGGGUUCUAAGACUCUCUGAGAGAGGAGACUACUGUAGCCAUGCCCCUCAUUUACAUGGCCCUGUUGGGUAUUAUUCCCAGAACCUGGACCACUCCUCUGGCAUUGGGUGGGAUGGAUUCAGAAAAUCCUAAUCUGAUGUCACCAUCCAAGUCCUAGGUUCCAUAUCAUCUCAGUCCCCAUCUUAUGUAAGGCCUGGCUUCCUUGGAACUGUCACAUGUCCUUUAGCCUCCUGGUCUCUGAGUUUCUUCACUUGACUGACCAACUUCUCUGACUCAUUUCUAAGCUUGAUCUUUGCUACUGGGUGAGUCUAGGUUUUCCCCGACCUCCCAGGAGGCAGACUACAAGACUUCGGACAACCAUGAGACACUUUCUCCAUGUUUCAGCCCUUAUUUCUGGGAAGACCAUUUGUUCUUAGUAGACAUCUUAUUCCUCUGGGGAGAGCUGCUAGUGAAUGGAGAUGCUGAUGAUACUGGUGAUAGAGAUCCUGAUGAUAUUGGUAUUGAUGCUGGUGAAGGAGAUGAUGAUGGUGAUGGAGAUGAUGAGGGUGGUGAUGGAGGUGAUGAUGAUACUGGUGAUGAGGGUGGUGAUGGAGAUGAUGAUGAUACUGGUGAUGAGGGUGGUGAUAGAAAUGCUGCUGCUGCUGAUAAAAUAAUAAAUAGCUUAUCCUGAUGGAGCAUGCACCACAUGUCAGACACUGCUUCAUUUCUGCAAAGCAAGCACACAUGGAAAUGAGAAAACUGAGUUGAGUGCAGAGUCUGUGAUCUUUUUUCCAAGAUCACUCAGUUAGUGGGCGGCAGAAAUGGUCUCCACAUGAAAAAAAAUCUCAGCCAACUUCAUGCUCUUAAACUACGUGACGGUGGCUCUUGAAAACAAACUCAAGUAAUGGAAGCUCUUGGGACUUGGGAGAUGGCUGUCAGUCAAGUGCCUGCCCAGCAAGUAUUAGGACCCCAGUUCAAUCUCUAGAACACACACGAAAAGUCAGAUGUAGUGGCACACACUUGUAACCCUAGCACUGGGGAGGUGGAGGGAAGAGGAUCCCUGGGGAGCAUGCCAGCCAGCCUGGCUAAUCGAUAAAUUCCAGACCAGUGAAAGACUCUGUCUCAAAAUACAUUGUGAGAUCAGUGAGAGACCCUGUCUCAAAAUACACUGUGAGGUCAUUAAGGGACCCUGUCUCAAAAUACACUGUAAGGCCAGUGAGAAAUCCUGUCUCAAAAUAUAUUGUGAGGUCAGUGAAUGGCCCUGUCUCAAAAUACAUUGUAAGGCCAGUGAGAUGGCUCAGGAGGUAAAGGUUUUUGCUGCCAAGCCUGAGGACCUGAGUUCAAUUCCCAGGACCCACAAGAGAACAAACUUCCACCAGUUAGUUAUACAUGUACACAGAGGGUGUGGGUGGGGUAUGGGAAACAUAAAUAUUAUCAUUGACUAGGGCUCUCCAAAUCCUAGAUGUAGACAAGCUGCUCAAAUAUGGCUGCCAGUACCCUGAGCCUUGGAUAACCACCUCUAUGUUCCAAUUUGACUAAGCAGGGGAGACAUGUUGAUAUGACUCACACAUGUGUGGACCUUAUAUCAUCUUUGUCAUUGGGGUUGUUUUGUUCCAUCAGCCCCUCUGUUUCUUUCCAUCUCUGUAAUGAGGAAGCUACCACACCCGUGGCCCAAGCCUGCUUCUCUGUGGUUGAACCCUUUGACUUAUUAAUAAACCUAGCAUGGCCCCCGCCCCUGCCCAAGGAGAUAACAAACUGCCCCACUUCCCUCAUCAAACUGUCCCCGUGUCACAUCAGUGGCGCCACCGAGGUGGCUGGCGCCACUAUUACCACGCUCCUCCCAGGUGGGGCAAUGAGGGUGAAGUGAUGCGUGUGUCCACACAGGAACCAAUUGUGCCGAAAUACUUGGAGGCUUGUAAAAGGUGCUAUAUAAAUCAAUUAUUAAUACUAAUCAGGGUGUGAUAGUACCAUCGGCAGGAGGAGGGCGGCCCAGGCAGGCAGACACCACACCCGCUUUGACACAGCCCUCGAGAGUCAGGAAGCUCAUAGAUCAUGUAAAGAGGUGAGAAGAAAUGAUAUCAGAGGGAUAAGAGUAAAGCUCUACUCAGUGCACCCCACCUGGCACUGAACGAACUCCACCCAACGGCGCCACCUUAAUACAGAAAAUUCUAGAACCUCAGAGAUGCUAGGCAUGUCUCAGCACUGUACCUAGGCCGUGGGCAAUGAUGCCCACCCAGACGUGUCUCUCAUGAGCGUUGGUCACUUCUCAGCAUGGGAAGCUCUGGGCUUGGCUGAUACUUUGCAAAGCCACUUCCUGUUUCCCCUUGGGGUCUGCUUUGGGAUGAAAGAAAAGCAUUUCCGCGCGUGAUGGAUGUGGCGGCUUGGUUUUGUGCUUGUUCUUGGACAUUCUGCGGCCCUGGGUCUGGUUUGGUGACCCAUUCGAGCAUCUGCAAAUGUCACUGUGGGUGGUAUGAGAGCCCCACCAAUAAAACAAAUAGAAGAAAACAGGCAGCAUGUGCUGUCAUAUUCAAAACGAAGUGACCUACACC